UUGUAUCUGGUCUAGUUAAAAUAUUUAAAAAGUUCUAAGCUAAAAAUAUUAAAUAUUUUAACUAGACCAGAU